rnacentral:rRNA from 1 species
AGAGUUUGAUCAUGGCUCAGGGUAAACGCUGGCGGCGUGCCUAAAACAUGCAAGUCGCACGCGACCUUCGGGUCGAGUGGCAGACGGCUGAGUAACGCGUGGGUGACGUACCCGUAGGUGGGGAAUAACUGCCCGAAAGGGUGGCUAAUACCGCAUACGCCGAGUGCUUCGGUGCACUGGGAAAGCCGUAAGGCGCCGAUGGAGCGGCCCGCGUUCGAUUAGCUGGUUGGUGGGGUAACGGCCUACCAAGGCGACGAUCGAUAGCUGGUCUUAGAGGAUGAUCAGCCAGACUGGGACUGAGACACGGCCCAGACUCCUACGGGAGGCAGCAGUUAGGAAUUUUGGGCAAUGGGCGCAAGCCUGACCCAGCAACGCCGCGUGGGUGACGAAGGCCUUCGGGUUGUAAAGCCCUUUUCUGGGGGAAGAUGAUGACGGUACCCCAGGAAGAAGCACCGGCUAACUACGUGCCAGCAGCCGCGGUAAUACGUAGGGUGCAAGCGUUGCCCGGAUUUAUUGGGCGUAAAGGGCGCGCAGGCGGCUACGCACGUCCGUCGUGAAAUCGCUCGGCUCAACUGGGCGGGGUCAGCGGAUACGGCGUGGCUGGAGCAAGCUAGGGGGCAGUGGAAUUCCCGGUGUAGUGGCGGAAUGCGUAGAUAUCGGGAGGAACACCGUGGCGAAGGCGGCUGCCUGGAGCUUGCUGACGCUGAGGCGCGAAAGCGUGGGGAGCGAUCCGGAUUAGAUACCCUAGUAGUCC